rnacentral:rRNA from 1 species
AGACAGCAGCCGCCGCGGUAAUACAGAGGGUGCGAGCGUUAAUCGGAUUUACUGGGCGUAAAGCGUGCGUAGGCGGCUUUUUAAGUCGGAUGUGAAAUCCCUGAGCUUAACUUAGGAAUUGCAUUCGAUACUGGGAAGCUAGAGUAUGGGAGAGGAUGGUAGAAUUCCAGGUGUAGCGGUGAAAUGCGUAGAGAUCUGGAGGAAUACCGAUGGCGAAGGCAGCCAUCUGGCCUAAUACUGACGCUGAGGUACGAAAGCAUGGGGAGCAAACAGGAUUAGAUACCCCGGUAGUCCCUGUCUCUUAUAA